GACAUGUAAGCGGUCUGCAAGCUUCCUGACGGCAAGAGCUGGACUUCAUUCUUGACAGUUCUUGUCACUGGACCAGAGCAUAGGAACACAUCCAGGUUACACGAUGUCUGACCCAGGGGAUCUUCCUAAAGGAAAGCCCCAGAAGUAUCCACAAAGGAAAAGAACCAUGUUCACUCAGAAACAACUGGCAGAUUUGCGGCUCCUGUUCAAUGAGAACCCAUACCCGACCUCCAGCCUUCAGAGAGAAAUGGCCUCAAAAAUGGAGAUACAUCCAACAGUCGUGAAGGUUUGGUUCAAGAACCACAGAGCAAAACUCAAGAGAGCCAAAUACAAGCCUAUUCAGCAAAAACAACAAGAGGCUCAACAGCAGCAAUUAGCUGAGGCAGGAGGCAAGGCCAGCUCUUCCAAGACAGGCGCGGAUACACCUCCCAGAUCCCCUCGCAGGGCCCUCCCCGCAUCCCUGGUUUAUACAGAGCAUCCAGAGCAUCCAGUGCCUGCUUUCCAGCUCCGCCUGUGCCCCAAUUUUAAUGCUCACACAGACCACUUUGUUGGCCACAAAAUAGUUCAUUUCGGCUGCUGCCGAGACCCUAACAUAUACUGCCUCUCUCCCACUCUGGAAUCCCAAGUUCUUUCCACGAGCAUCAGCGCUAAUUCCUUCUGCUCUUCAUCACCACCAAGAUCUUGUCAGUGAGAGGACCCAGACACAAAAAGUCACGUGGUGGAAUGAUUUGUAAUGAUUCCCACACACGAGAAUGCUUUUCAGCCAUAAAAAGGAAGGAACACAAGAUAUACACAACAUGGAUGCGUUUCAACAUUGUGUUGAAUGAAAGAAAAAAAGACACGAAAGACAACAUACUAUAUAAUUCCAUUUAUAUGCAUUCCUGGAGCAGGAAAUGCCACAGCGCCAAAAAACACAUUAGCGGCUGCCCAUGUGGUAGAUCUAAGAGACUAGUAUGGGCAGUAUCUUUUUUCUUUUUCCUGCUUCUUUGUUAUGAUUUUAUUUUUUUUCUCCAGUAUCAUUCAGGUUUAGUCACUGUCAGUAAGUGGAGCUUUGGCUUAUUUUUUUCUACUUUCUAUUUUUCAGUCACCUUCCCAGCCAUCUCUUUAUAACUUUGACCACUCAAAUAUUUCCAGCUCCCAAAUUUUUCUUUUGUUAAUCUUUUUUUUUUUUUUUUUAAGAUUGGUACCCGAGCUAACAUCUGUUGCCAAUCUUCCUUUUCCUUUUUUUCUUUUCUUCUUCUUCUCCCCAAAGCGCUCCCCAGGACACAGCUGUACACUCCAGGUGCAGGUCCUUCUGGUUGUGCUAUAUGGGACACCACCCCAGCCUGGCCCAAUGAGUGGUGCCACGUCUGCACCCAGGAUCUGAACCGGCAAACCCCAGGCCACCGAAGCAGAGGGCACGAACUCAACCACUUGGCCACGGAGCUGGUCCCUCAACUCUCCUUAAGACAAUGAAACAUGCUCUCCUAAGCCAUCUGUAACCCCCCAGAAGGAACCGCUAUUUUGACUUUUGCCUAUUCAUAAAUUUCACAUAAGUUGAAUCAUUCCAUAUGGACUCCUCUGUGUGCCUUCUUUCACUCGCCAUGUUCUAGAUGAAAUUCACGCAUAUUGUUGAGAGUACACCGUUAACAAUGAAAAAUCCUUGGUAGAACCCAGUGGUUCUCCAGCAGGGGUGAUUUGCAUACCAGGUGACAUUUGGCAGUGUCUGGAGAUAUUUUUGGUUGGCAUAGCUGGGGGGUGAGGAGGGUGCCGCUGGCACGUAGUGGGUGGAGGUCAAGGAUGCUACUGAACGUCCCACAAUGCGCAAGUCAGCCCCCCACGACAAAGAAUGAUCCAGCCCAAAAUGCUGUUGGUGCCAGGGAGAGAAACCCUGGAAUACCCUGAGAGACUGAAUAUACAAAUGGACAGUGUCCAGACCCCAUCUAAAAAGAGAACUCCGACCCACCACCUCUGUACCAACCAGUCCAGGAAACCAAACCACAACCCCUGUAGCAAGUGGCCCAAAGUGGCCAGGACUUGAUCAAUCAUUGACAGCUUCCCUAAUGCGUGCAGCCCUUCCACCCUCACUUUCAACUUAGGACCAACCAGACAAAGCCACACAUGUUCCUCUGGCCAAUCACGUAGGACACCCCACUUCUAAUUAGCCCGCCUCCAGCUUCCCCAUGCCGACCAGUCUCCAGUCAGAGCACACCUGAAGAUUUCUUUUUUCCACUAUAAAGCGUUCAGACUCCUUUGCUUGCCUUUUGGUCUCUGCCAAACCCCUUGAUAGUGGCUGACUCCCUUACUGUAGCAAGCUCUGAAUAAAUAUUUUCUUGUUUUCAUUUCAUUUCAUUUUCACUGAUUUCCACAAACCUUCUACCUAGCCCAUAUUUAGAUUUCUCUGCUCAUUCUCAAAAUACUUUCUCAAUAUCCAUUGUUUGAGUCAGCGUCCCAGCAACAUCCACACAUCAGCGGCUACAAACGGCCAUUACCUAAUUCAGCCGUUCCUUCCACAAUUAUCAGAUAGAUGCUCCUGCUUGGGAGAACGUUUCCUCAUCAAUUAUCACAAACAAAAUCCCGGUUCCCAGAAAAGCGCCAGCAACAAAGCAGGCAUUGAAGAUGUUUUCAAAAGAAAGAAAAAAAGCAAAGAGAGAGGGAUUGGUUGAUUCAGUGAAUGAAUGGCAUCCUCAGGAUAAGAGCCCCGACUCACAACAAACCCGGGCUCUCCUCCCUCACCACCUUCUAGCCCAGUAUUGCUCAAACCUGCUGGUAAGAUGAUGAAAAACACCGGGGGAGCUUUCAAAUCCCAGAUUCCAGGAGCGGAGGGAGUUUGCGGUCUCGGGAAGCAGGCACAAUUUUACCAGAUUUUACCCAGGAUCGUAUUUAAACAACGGUCAAAGUGCAGGAGGCACAGCCAAAGCCUGAGACAGGCAGAGAGAUACAUUUCUUGGAGAAGAUGAAAAGGAGACACUCCCAGAGGAUGUCCCCACGAUUUGGUCCCAGAACAGAAGAACCAGAGCAGGAUACGUCAACCCCAUCAAAGUCAGGAGGAAUGGGCCAGAGUGGAGACGGCGGACAUGUUGUCUCUCCCAACACCUCCGAGGCCCCCUCGUCUGCUAUGCAGGUCUCCUCACCUGCAAAGCAGGGCCCUUUAUGGGUCUCUGCGUCUCCACAUCUCGAAAGUCUGUAAUGCCAGUCUCCUCUUUGUUUCCACGCCUGAGACGCGGGUCCCCUCUCCCAUCUCCUCUCCUGCUAAGCUCCCACUGCCAGUCUUCUCUCCCUCGACCCCCCCAAGAUCUGAGACACAGGUCUCCGCUCGGAUCUUCACGCUCCCCAUGCUCGCAUCUCCAGUCUCCACACCUGUCAUGCAGCUCUCCUUGCCGACCAGUCUCUUCCCUGGACUCCACGCCUGAGACGCGUGUCUCCUCUCGCAUCUCCUCACCCGCCAAGCCCUCACUGUCAGUCUUCCGGCCCCUCUCCACGCCCACAACGCCUGCGACGCUGGCGAUCUCCCCUACAACGCCCACGACGCAAGUCCCCUCCCGGGUCUCCACGCAAGUGUCACGGGUCUCCUCACCUUCAAUGCCCACGACUCCUGGGACGCAUGUCUCCAAGCCAAUCUCCACUCCCCGCACGCCAGUCUCCACACCUGCAACACCGGAGACACGGUCUCCUUUUCGAUGCCCACGCUCCAGUUGCCCGCAUCUCCGGUCUCCACGCCUGGAACGCAGCUCUCCUCGGCCAUCUCCCCACCCCAGACCGCUGCAACGUCCGGGACGCGGGUCUCCCCACCGGUCUGCACGCCCACCAUGCCCUCGACACCCUCGUCUGGCAUCUUUUCGCUCAUCUCUAUGCCUCCGAUACCAGUCUCCUCCCUCGACUCCACGCCACCAACACCCCAAGGCAGCUCUCCGCUCCUGUCUCCUCACCUCGCUGGUCAAACCCCACUGCCAAUCUCCUCGCCCCUCUCCACGCCCCCGACGUCUGUGACGCCAGUCUCCCGCCCCGGACGUUGGUGAUGCCCCGGACAGAGACUUCCUCUCCAGUCUCCAUGCGUAAGCCCCUGUCGCCAGUCUCAUCGCCCGCCUCCACGUGCGCAAGACCUGUCUCGUCGCCUACAACGCCCGUGACACCCACAGUGCAAGUCUUCUCAGCUGCCAAGUGCCCUCUCCUGCAACGGUGGCGACGCUGGACUCCGUACUGGUCUCCACGCCCGUUGCGCUCCAGCUGCGGGUGUCCUCGCCAGUGUCGGUGCCCUGGCAUCCGCGCUCCUGCCCUUGCAAGUCUCCUCUCCUGAAACGCGUGCAACUCAUGAGUCUUAUCUCCCAGCCCCCCCGAGGUCACCUCCCAUCUGUUCACUGGUCCCAACUCCCUCUUGGCCCACAAGGCUGGUCUCCUCGCGCAGACACACCAAUUCCAGGGAAAUCUUUCUUUGACCUCAGGAACCUAGAUCUUGUUCAGAGGUGGGAACUUGUUUAAUUGGAAUUUGGCACCAUUUGAGUUCUGCCUUGUCUGUUCCGACCUGGGAAUUUGGUUCUUCUCCGUCUCAGCAAUGAUCUUCCAGCUUCUCACUAUGGAUCAGUAAUCUUUCCCCCUCGAUAGCGCAGAUGGAAGGUUUGCGCUCUGCCCUCAGGCCCUCUCCAAACGCCAGCAGUUGAAUGGAUCCCUAUUCACCCGCUGUCUUGAUGCACCCCCCCACACACACACACACAGAUGCACGCGCACACGCAGGCACACACGCGCGCGCGCGCGCAAAGCUCUGCAUCUACAAGCCCAGGAAUCCCAUCACCCAUCAAGUGCACUAGACCUCAUGGACCCGUGGGAUCAGAGCUCCAGCUAUGAAUAGUCCAGAGAGAAAAGUUUGCCCCCUUCUGGUCACUCCCCUCUUUUUGUCUGCUGCCCCCCCCCCCCCCCCCCCNNNNNNNNNNNNNNNNNNNNAGUAUAUAUGCUACGUCUCUGCUUCCACUGUCUUCAAACAGGGCAAGCAAGAAGGUCUCGAGCCUGUUUGUCCACAGUUUGUGCUUAUUCACAGAGCCUUGCCUGCAGGACCUCUCUCGCAGAGAAGGUCCCAUGACUGAACUCGGUGAACGUGGUGGAAUAUUUCAUAUAUUGUCUAUAACUGUGAGCUGGUAACAGGAUGCGCGUGCCUAGGUUUAGCGCUGCAAUGCAUUCAGUUGGAGGUAUGUCACCCUGUCCACCAGACCCUCUAUGGAAUCCCAGAAUGCAGUUCUGCACAGUGCAUGUUAGGGCAUCAGUAAGACACCCAGCUGCCCAGGAGCUGAAGUGGGGUCUCCGCCACCCACUUAGGGCAUCUCCCCUCAUUGUUUGCUCCCCAGACAAAUGCCCACCUGUUUAGCUGCCAUCCCACUGGAGCUUAUUCCAUCUACAUUACUUUUUCUUUUUCUCUCUCAUCCCCUGCCUCUCUCUCAUUUUCUUGCCCACCACAGACCACUCUUCCAAUGUCCAAAAACGUUUAUUUCCCUUAUUUAUAUGAGCAACUUUGUUUAUUUGAGUCCUCCUUUCCUAGGACAUUUUCACGGGAGCAUAUGUUUUUAAUGUACAUAAAUAAGAUUGUAUUUUAAAUUUCAUUCUGUUUAUUUUUUGCACACCACUAUUUAUAAAACUGUGUGACACUGAGUGUAUUUAUCCCAUUGCUUCUCACUGCUGCAUCAUAUUCCCUGGUGUGCAUCUCCACGUGUUGCUGGCAUCUUCCUUCAGUAAUGCCCUUAGGCUGCCUCCCACUCCCAUGACUGUGAAGGAUUCUGUGACAACCCCCUCAACUGUCAUCUCGUUUGACCAGGAUGAGAGUUUCUUCCUCGAUUCAUUCCCAGGAUCCUGGCUACUUGGUCAUGUUUUAAACGUAUAAAACAUUUAAUCUCCAUCAUGGAUACCCCAGUCUACACUCUGACCUUUAGCCCUGACCCCUGUCAACCCACACCAUUUAUCAGCUUUUUAUCAUUUCACCUUUCUGAAGGGCAUACAGAGAAAGCCUUUCCUUCAUGUUUUUCAAAAUAUCCUGUUCUUCCACAUAAAUUUUAGAAUAGUUGAGAAUUUAUUCCAUAUUAUUCUUUUGGGAUAUAAUUGACGUAUUACAUUGUAUUUAUAUUAUUUGCUUAUAUGAUUUGGGGGCAAAACUUUAUCAAGUCCACACACAGACACAAAGGGCAGGUAGCAUUCAGAUCAGCAUUGUUUAGAGUUUACAAGUGAAUUUGGACGAAUCAGCUUCUUGUUAAACUUUCCCAUUCGUAGGCAAGUUAUAUCUCCCCAUAUGUUCAGAUAUUUAAUGCCCCCCAAUAAAAGUUUACCAUUUUAUGCAGAAUGACCUUGACGAUUAUUUGUAGAUUUGUCCUUCAAUUACCCAGUCUUUGUUUUUGUUCUGAGAGGGCUCUUUUGAAAAGAAAUCAUUUUUUUUCUGUAAGAAGUUGUUGCUGGUGAAUAGGUCUCUUUUGAGUUGUGGGAGGUGAUCUGUUGUCCAGCAGCAGCCUUGGUGAAAUCUGUAACAUUUCUGAUUGUUUGCAAAUUUUCCUGGUUUUUUAAUGUAGGCAGGUAUCCUGGGCAAAUAAUUAUAAUUUGUAUCUUUUUCACCAAAUUUCCCGCUUUUUCUCGACCCACUGGGCUGGUUAUGACCUUAGAUAUAAAGCUGAAUAUGUGCAAGAAUGGUGGAAAUCUGCAUCUUGCCUGUCAUUCCAGGAAUGCUCUGUACUUUACCUAGUCUGUGGAUUGUUUGCUGUAUCUUUCUUUUCUUUUUUUUUUUAAAGAUUUUAUUUUUCCUUUUUCUCCCCAAAGCCCCCCGGCUACAUAAUUGUAUAUUCUUUGUUGUGGGUCCUUCUAGUUGUGGCAUGUGGGACGCUGCCUCAGCGUGGUUUGAUGAGCAGUGUCAUGUCCAUGCCCAGGAUUCGAACCAAUGAAACACUGGGCCGCCUGCAGCGGAGCGCACGAACUUAACCACUCAGCCACGGGGCCAGCCUGCUGUCUCUUUCUAGCAGAGGUUUUUAAAUCAGAUUUUAAUAAUUUUAUUCCUUGCUUUCCAGGAUGUUACUAACAUUUUAAACUAUGACUGGGUACUAACUAUUAACAACUGCUUUUUCUGCAUCUACUGAGGUGUGAUUUGAUUAUUAUUUUUUCUGGUUAAUCUAUUAAAAUGAAUCUCUUUGAUUCUGUGCCACUCUCUCAUAAGCGUGGUUCCAUUCAUGAGUAUGUUUUAAUGUUUAUCAUUACAAUGGUAUAAAGUCCAACAUUUUUGGGUUUUUUUUUUCAUGAGGAAAAUUGUUGCUGAGCUCACAUCUAUGCCAGUCUUCCUUUAUUUUGUAUGUGGGUGGCUGCCAUAGCAUGGCCACCAACC
ensembl:lncRNA